GAUGAACGCUGGCGGCGUGCCUAAUACAUGCAAGUCGAGCGAACAGACGAGGAGCUUGCUCCUCUGACGUUAGCGGCGGACGGGUGAGUAACACGUGGAUAACCUACCUAUAAGACUGGGAUAACUUCGGGAAACCGGAGCUAAUACCGGAUAAUAUAUUGAACAGCAUGGUUCAAUAGUGAAAGACGGUUUUGCUGUCACUUAUAGAUGGAUCGGCGCCGGAUUAGCUAGUUGGUAGGGUAAAGGCCUACCAAGGCGACGAUCAGUAGCCGGCCCGAGAGGACGACCAGCCACACUGGGACUGAGACACGGCCCAGACUCCUACGGGAGGCAGCAGUGGGGAAUUUUGGACAAUGGGCGAAAGCCUGAUCCAGCAAUGCCGCGUGUGUGAAGAAGGACUUCGGGUUGUAAAGCACUUUUGUCCGGAAAGAAAUCCUUGACUCUAAUACAGUCGGGGGAUGACGGUACCGGAAGAAUAAGCACCGGCUAACUACGUG
rnacentral:rRNA from 1 species